GGGAGUGUUUCAACAUUUUAAUUUGUGUUGGUUUACAAGUAUAAAAGAAAACCUAUGUAUCAGAUCUUGCAUACUCUUAUACACACGAAUAAUCCUUACUGAGCAAUCCCUUGUGUGACUCAGGACUAUUCAAGUGAGUACAGUUCUUAACAGUAGCCUUAUACUCUUCCAUUCAAACCAUAUACCUCUAGCAUUCAUAGAGGAGAGUAAAACCGCAGUCAACCUGAAGCAAGACAUCACUCAUUCAUACACAUACAUCCUUUGUAGCUAAUACUAUCCUCUCAGUGCAGCCACUGGGUGUGCUGGUAACAACACUGGCUAGACUGUCAUUAACCUGAGAAAAAACUGCUUUUCCUAGCAUUACAGCACGCUUUAGAAAAACAAGUUUGUCCUUUAAAACAAAGGUCUUAACAGAGUAUCUUUGCCUCUAUGACUCCCUGUUAUACCUUCUUUCUACUAGCAAUGGCAGCACAGCUAGAUCAAAACAUAUAUAGAGCAGCAACCCUGUUAGUUAAUCUGCACUCCAGGCUGCAGUGACAUGAGGCACUGCAAAAGCAACAGCCCUCAUGUUGAUGGAGUGUUUAAACUCUUUUUGGUUAGUCUGCACAACUAAAGCAUAACCACACGACAGCAAUGUAACUCAUACAAGUAUCUUUUUUAAUUUUCCCCUCUCAUAACAGUGAUUUAAAUAUUCAGUUCCCUAUGCAUGCACUUCAGGAGAUUGGUAUAAAAAUAGGAAGUAAUAUGGCACACUUUCUAAAAAUAUGCAUAUACAGUGGUCUUCAUCAUUGGUAUGUGAAGUUAAAUGGUACUCAAAAUGUCACCACACUGGACUUCUGCCUGUGUAGCUCUCCUACUGCUGACUUCACCGUAGUACAAAUAUUUCACUGGCUGAGAUUUGUGAAGUUUCCACUGUUUCUAAAUGGCAAAAUCACAACUGCACCAUCACUUACAGUAUCUGCUUUAAGGAUUUGAGAACUGUCUCUUUAGAUGUGAAGUACUUCUACACAUGAAACCACUUUUUUAUUUUUUUCUCUCCAAGGACUAAUGCUUCAGACCAAGGUACCUCUGUAGAUAGGCAACAGCCAUAAUUCCCUGAUUAUUGAUGAGUAUCCAACUAUAAAGUCAGAUUCUCAGUUUUAGCUAAGAACACCUGAAAAUGCGUCCCUGUGUGCUGAACUCUGCAGGUUUAGAAGCAAGGGGGUUACAUUCUUACUUGCUCCUUUAACUCACUACUGGGAAAAAAAUAAAACAAACCAAACCCACAAAGCUGAAAUAUUCUUCUACAUCAUCUAAAAAAGUACAGAGAAAUACUACACUGUACAUCUCUGUACAAGUACAGAGAAAUACUGUAGUGUCUUCAAAGCAUCACUUCGCUAUUCUAUGCUCCUCAGAGAAAGAAAUUAGAACUGAGGUGUUUGGUGUUUUCCUCAGAUACUGAGGUACAUUCCCAUGGCAAGCUGAGGCCAAAAAUUCCCUUGCAACCCCCCCAAUAAUUUAAUGAGAACUACAUACACAUACCACACACAGACACAUAAUAAGCAAAAUAAAAAACAGAACUCCAUUAUAAAACUGAAGUAUGAAGACAUUCAUUUACCGUGCAGUAAAGAAAAAAUAAAAACAUCUUAGUUCUUUGCAGCACUGCAUGUGACAUAUUUCAUGAUAAAUUACCUCAGACCUGAACUUGAGACACAUCUAAUACAAUUAUGCUGAUGUCAUCCCAACUGAAGAACUUCACAUCCUCCAUGAUGAUAGGAUGGAGGCUAAGCUUAGGACAGUAGUUGAUGCUUUUGGUCAUAAAUUACUUGUUUC
ensembl:lncRNA